rnacentral:rRNA from 1 species
UUUUAAUUGAAGGCUUGUAUGAAGGGUUGGACAAAGGAUAAGCUGUUUUUAUUUUUAUUUUUGAAUUUGUCUUUUAAGUGAAAAGACUUAAAUUAUUUUAAGGGACGAUAAGACCCUAUAAAUCUUUAUAUUAAUAUAUUUUUGUUUUAAUUUUUAAUGUUUAUAAAAAUAAAUAUGUAAAGUAUUAUAUUGGGGUGAUAAGAAUAAUUUAAUAAACUGUUCUAAAUAUAAAACAAAGUUGUUUGGAAAAUUAAUAGAUCCUUCAUAGAGAUUAAGAGUUUAAGUUACUUUAGGGAUAACAGCGUUAUUUCUUUUGAGAGUUCUAAUCGAAAAAGAAUUUUGCGACCUCGAUGUUGAAUUAAAAUUUCUUUAUGGGGUAGGUUUUAUAAGAGAGAGUCUGUUCGACUUUUAAAAUUUUACGUGAUCU